GAUGAACGCUGGCGGCGUGCCUAAUACAUGCAAGUAGAACGCUGAAGGCGGAGCUUGCUCUUCUGGAUGAGUUGCGAACGGGUGAGUAACGCGUAGGUAACCUGCCUGUUAGCGGGGGAUAACUAUUGGAAACGAUAGCUAAUACCGCAUGACAACAGUUAUUGCAUGAUAACCGUUCAAAAGGGGCAACUGCUGCACUACCAGAUGGACCUGCGUUGUAUUAGCUAGUUGGUGAGGUAACGGCUCACCAAGGCGACGAUACAUAGCCGACCUGCGAGGGGGAGCGGCGACACUGGGAUGGAGACACGGCCCAGACUCUUGCGGCAGACAGCCGGACGGAAUCCUCGGCAAUGGACGGAAGUCUGACCGAGCAACGCCGCGUGAGUGAAGAAGGUAUUCGGGUCGUGAAGCUCAGUUGUAAGUUAAGAACGAGAGUGAGAGUGGAAAGUUCACACAGUGACGGUACCUGACCAAAAAGCGACGGCUAACUACGUG
rnacentral:rRNA from 1 species